GCAGGCGUAGCUUCAAUGGUAGAGCGCUGCCUUGGUAAGGCAGAGGUUAUGGGUUCAAUCCCCAUCGCCUGCU
rnacentral:tRNA from 1 species